AUGGCCAUCUUUGACGAGUUUUACGUUGGGAACAUCGACCUCGGUCUCCUCAACUAUGGGAUCAUUUUGCUCAGUCCCAAAGUGCCGGGGGCCUCCGACAUUUACCAGUUUUGUCCGAUCACGGUGAUCAAUGUGAUCUUCCGGAUUCUGGCGAAAGGGUACGCCAAUAGGGUGACCCUGCUAGCUGACCUCAUUACCCACCCCAACCAGUCCGCCUUCGUGCGAGGGCGGUAUAUCUUGGAUGGGGUGCUAGUUCUCCAUGAAGUCCUCCACGAGGUCCGGUCUAAACACCUCAAGGCGGUCUUCCUGAAAAUCGACUUUCAUAAGGCCUACGACAAUGUUAGUUGGUCCUUCCUUCGGGAAGUUUUGCUCCGGAAGGGCUUCGAUGAUCGAUGGAUCACCCGGGUGAUGCAAAAUGGUGUCCUGCGGUCGUACCGCCAUGAACAUCAAUGGGGAGAUUGGCCCCUACUUCCCCACCCCGUGUGGGGUUAG
rnacentral:rRNA from 1 species